CACAGGGGAGUCUUGAAGAACAACCACGGGGACUGGCCUGGCACGAGGCGUGGGGACAGGCAGGACAGCUUCAUCCAUUCCAGAAACCGAAACUGAUAAGGCGAUGACCUCUGUGCUGGAGACAGCGACUGGUAGUACAGCAUCCUCUACACUGGGAACAGUCUGGCUGGGGGUCCAGCAGGGUAGCAGCUGCGGUUGGCAGGUCCUGACCUGCAGCAGUCACAAACAACAGGCCAGGAAGGACCAGGGGACCAACCACUUCAGUCAAUGGCAGGUCCGGGAGGUCCGCGGAUGUGGCUAUGUCGAUCAGCGACGCCGCAGGGAGGUCUGGAGGCGUGGCUUCGGCGGUCAGCGGUGCUUCCGUGGGGGUCCAGGAGCGCGCCUGAGAUGGUAAGCAGCGGGUCCAGGAGGUCCGGAGGCGGGGCUGCGCCAGUCAGCAGCGCGUCCAAAAGGUACGGAAGUGGGGCUGCGCCAGUCAGUGGCGGGUCCGGGAGGUCCGGAGGCGUGGCUGCGCCGGUCAGCGGUGCUGCAGGAAGGUCCGGGGGCGCAGCUACAGGAACGGACUUGACACAGGACACAGGAACAGGUUGAGUUACAUCUCGGGCAGUGAGAACAGGCUGGGCGGCCUCCGCUAGGCCGGGAACAGGAACAGGACUGACGGCAACGGGUGUCCUGACGGAGACGGGCGAUGCCUCUCCUGCUGGGAACAGGAACUGGAUAAGGACGGAUGGCGUCUCUCCCGCCGGAGGCAGGGACCGGCUGGGCGGUGUCUCUCCCGCCGGAGGCAGGGACCGGCUGGGCGGCGUCUCUCUGGCUGGGUGGCUGAGAGAGGAGUAGCUACAGAAGGUGGAUUUGGUGGGGUGGCAGCAAAUCGUGCUGUUAACAGCUGGAGGAACCCUUCCAAUGUCCUAGCCUCUUGAGCUCUGUGCUGAAGCAUUUUCAGCUCACUCUAGUGCUUUCCCGUCAGAGCUUUGACCUCCAGUGGUUCGCUGACUUCUCCCUCUGUGCCCACAGCAAACAGCACCUUCAGCUUCUGUAGAAGUGUAUGGACGAAACAAGUGAGGAA